rnacentral:lncRNA from 1 species
CAUUCACAGCCUUUCCUGGAGUUCCAAACAAACCUUGAUCUUUAGGUUUCCUAAGACAAUCUAAAUCCCCUGGAAGAAAUGAUGUGCCACAUUAUGUCUGAAAAAUUUCUACCAAGAAAAAAAGGAGACUCCAAGCAGGGAGGUCAGGGGCACCAUCAACCUUCAGCCUCAACUGCGUGCCAGGCACGGUCAUCAGAUCUGGGAUGCAGCCCUGCUCAGAACUUCCUCUUUCCCACAUCGGUGUUACCAGGAAGCUAAGAAUUAUAGCAUCCUGCUAAAAAUCGAGAAGCCAAGAAAUAGAAAACCAAGUCAGCAAUCAUAGACUGUCACUAUUGGAAGGAAAUGCAAAUGCUUGGAGUUUAGUAAUGCGUGCUUUUUGCUGGAUUCCCUGUUUCGCGGACCCUCUUGCUGUCUGUGAGCUCCUUAAUCUAUUAGAUGUUCAGUUACAUCUUUCCCUGUCUCAGCUGUCUUACUGAACCCACCCCACUGUUGGUGUUUUCUCUCACCCCAGCGAGGAUGGCUGCCUUUUGUUAGACUCGUGUUCCUCCCCAUGGACGACCCAAGAAGCUAUGCAGAAUAUCCUCAUUUUCUGACAGUCACAUCGUGGAUAACAACAAAGUUUCCUCUUGAUAAUAUUUUAUUGUCCUGAUAGCAAGUAAACUUUGUUUUAGCUUCUUUAACACUUGCUGUUUGUAUAUCUGUGUUAGUUCCUUUUCUCUUGUUGCUGAGACAAAAUAAUACCCAACACUCGAAGUCGAAGAGGAAGGGUUUCAUUUGGCUUACGGUUCAUGGAGGUGUCCAGAAUCUGCUGGCUCAGAGAGGCUGGGAUAGCAAACAAGCAUCGCUGAAGAGAAACAACAUGGCGUGCAGAAGCCAGCAAAGGCAACGAAGAGUUUAACAGGGUCUUUCUGCCCCUUUUAUCUUACUCAGACUAUGGGGAUUAGGGUGGUGCCAAACUAUUAACACUCACAAGUGGUACUUUAGUAAUUAUGUGCCUUUAACCCCAGCAUCACGCAUUCCAGAUUCAACUUCCUCUGAAGAAGAAAGUCCCCCCUCAUCCAUGUGAGGCUUUGGGGGACAUCUAAACAUGAGCCACAACAGACAGCAUCCAUGCCCUUUUUUUUUUUUUUUUUGAUGGUCCUUGGUAUCAUGCCUACAUUUCAGUGACCUCUCGAAAUGUCUAUGUAGCUCUAUAAAAUAUUUUUAGCUUUUAUUUCUUUUUCUUUCUCCUGUUUAGAUGAGCAGUCAUUUUCUAUUUAGAAUUAUAGUUCUCUCUCUUUCACCCUCCCUCCC